AGCGAACGCUGGCGGCAGGCUUAACACAUGCAAGUCGAACGGGCACUUCGGUGCUAGUGGCAGACGGGUGAGUAACACGUGGGAACGUACCUUUCGGUUCGGAAUAAUUCAGGGAAACUUGGACUAAUACCGGAUAAGCCCUUCGGGGGAAAGAUUUAUCGCCGAUAGAUCGGCCCGCGUCUGAUUAGCUAGUUGGUGAGGUAAUGGCUCACCAAGGCGACGAUCAGUAGCUGGUCUGAGAGGAUGAUCAGCCACAUUGGGACUGAGACACGGCCCAAACUCCUACGGGAGGCAGCAGUGGGGAAUAUUGGACAAUGGGCGAAAGCCUGAUCCAGCCAUGCCGCGUGAGUGAUAAAGGCCUUAGGGUUGUAAAGCUCUUUUGUCCGGGAAGAUAAUGACUGUACCGGAAGAAUAAGCCCCGGCUAACUUCGUGCCAGCCGCCGCCGUAACAC
rnacentral:rRNA from 1 species